GUGCUCACCUCGGCAGCUCAAAGGCCAAAAUUGGAAUGAAACAGAAGUUAGCACAGCCCCCACACGGGGAAGACACAAAUCCGUGAAGUAUUCCUGUUUAAA
ensembl:snRNA U6 U6 spliceosomal RNA